GACGGAAGGUGCAAGCGUUGCUCGGAAUCACUGGGCGUAAAGGGUGCGUAGGCGGCCUGGUAAGUCUGGCGUGAAAGCCCAGGGCUCAGCCCUGGAAGGGCGCUAGAAACUGCGAGGCUCGAGUGCCGGAGGGGAGAGUGGAAUUCCUGGUGUAGCGGUGAAAUGCGUAGAUAUCGAGGAGAAUCGAGCCGGUAGGCGCAAAGCCGGACCUCUCUGGACG
rnacentral:rRNA from 1 species